CAGGGAGGGGGCGGAGGAACAGGGGGGACGAAAGCUUCCAGCGAGCAUUGCGAAUUGGGCGCAAGCGCAUUGGAACGGCGGCGUCUGGAGGAGAGUUGGCAUAGUUGAUCUUGGAGCCCAGAUUCAACACCCUCUGACCAAAGAAAAUCCUCCUCAUCUACUUUCUAAAGGCAGACUGGUGCAGCCUGGAAGAUUGUGAUGCAAAGCUGUUUAUACUGGCUAUAAGCGUGGUCUUCGAAACCAAAAAAAUAGCCUACCCUCUACUGAUGAUUGAUGGUGUUUAUUGCCGUGAUGAAACAGAUCUACACACUGGCAAAAUAUGUGCACAUGGUCUACAAAGCAAAGAACAAUGCUGUCCCUCCUGGAGGUACACCAAAUAAAACUCAUGUCAUUUGAGGUAAAGUGGCUCCUUCUCAUGGUAACAGUGGCACAUUCCAUGCCAAGUUCAGAAGGCUAUUGGGCAAAGGAUUCAUAUGAUGCUGGACUCGUUGAAAAUGUAAAGCAAACCUGUACAUGAAUUGCAAAUAAAUGGUAAAAUGGUCUAAAUAA